rnacentral:tRNA from 2 species
GCGCUGGUCGGUGACGGCAACGAGGUCGCUCACAUCGACCUGAUCAUCGGACCGCGUGGCUCGGCCGCCGAGUCGGCGUUC